GUGCUUGCUUUAGAAGCACAUAUGCUAAAAUUGGAAUGAUACAAAGAAGAUUAGCAUGGCCCCUGCGCAAGGAUGACAUACAAAUUCAUUAAGUGGUCCAUAUUUUC